CGCAGCUGGUGCACACUUACCCAGCAGAGACCAGCCCCCUCCAGCAGUGCCGCAGACUGACCUGUACCUGAACAGACCCCUUCAAUCCAGUAUGAACCAACUGACACAGGGACUCUACGUCCUGGCCCUAGUGGUCAGCCUGCAGGUUUUCUUGCCUGUCAAAUCAGCAACAAAUUCAUCCAUUGAAAGUCACAAUGCAACGACGCACACACCAACAGCAGUGACAAACAGCUCAGAUGUUACAACCACAAAUGCAACAACAGCAAAUACGAACGGAACCACGGCAACGACCAUGACGACGACGACAAAAUGCACAACAUCUAUGAAGACAACCAAACAUAAUGGCACCUCGGCGCUCAGCACGUCCCAGUGCCCACUGCUGAUCUUGUUUUUGCUCCUGUGCCAGUUCUCCCCAUGGCACUGAGUGCCUCCUAGUGGCCUGGCAGUAUAAUAGCAUUUUGUUCAGAUUGUAACCUACUGGUAUUCGUGUUGUUUCCUUUACUCUGAGGAAGAGGCGUGAAAACAGGUAUAAAAGUCAGGUAAUUUCGGGAAUUUAGGUGAUAAUAGCAGCAAGACCACACCUUAGAAGAAGGACCACAACCUGCAUACUGAAGUAACUUGAUUUCUUAUAACAUGGUGGCCUUAAUCUGUGUUGAGUUGGUCUGAGUGUACCAAUUAUCAGGGAAAACUCCCAUUUCCUUCUCAGAGUGCUGCUUCAGUAAUCUUAUGCUUCAGCCAUUUUCCCUGACAUCAAGUCUUAUGCAACCUGGUAUUUUUCAUUGUUUUUGUUCUUGUUUAUGGAAAUAGGAGAGUUCAGUUUUUUAUUUUAAAAUAAUUUGCAAAAAAAAUCUUAAAAUGAUGUUUUCACAUUGGAAUGAUUGGGUAAGGUAGGGGCAAAGCAUGGUAAAUAUCAUCCAGAAAUCUGUGCAACAUUUGUAAAAUAUAACUUUUUAGUUGUUUCAAAAUAUCAAAAAAAGAUGGAAUUCAGAUAUGCGGUUGUCAUGAAUGUAAUGUAAGGUAAAAAUGCGAAUGAUGAAAGGUUAUAAACUACAUAAGACAACAACAGAGUCAAAGGUACCAGAGUUGGGAAAAGGCAACACAUUCACAUUCACAAGAAAUGAAAUAUAUACAUAUCAAAAUGUACAAAUGUCAAAUACGAUUAAACAGACUUUGAAGAGGAAGAACAGAAAAAGCUCACAUACAUACCUUAUUUUUCCCUAAAUGAUGAUGGAAGCUGAGAUGAAUGAAAGAGAGAGAGAAUAAAAUACAAACUCUAAGUAUAAAUGAUGUUGAGGCGAGAGUCAGCCGGCCGGGGAUUAGCCAAAGCUACCUGCCUCAUUACCCUGCACACCUGGCUUUCCAAGGCCUACACAGUGGCCAGAGGGAUUCUGACCCAACCAUGAGUACUGACCCUGUGGAGCUCCAGGCGAACAGUUCUGGUGGAAACGGUCAAGGUGUACAUUUAAUUCUGCAGUGAGUUGGGCAGCUGUGGUUUUAUGUUUUUUGGAUACAGUCCAGGUUAGGGCCCAGCUGCCCCUGUCAGACAGCUUCCUCUUCUAUCUGCUGUUACUCCUGCUGGAUGUGGUCUGUCCUCCGUUGGUGGUAUGUUGACACUACCCUGGAUACCGUGGCUCUCUACACCACAAGGACUUGCUGUCCUGGUCACAGAUGCACCAGCGAGACGCGCACCAGCACUUUGGCCCCUGUUGAACUCUGCCUCCCAUUAUGUUGUGUGGAUUGCAAUAUUUCAUGUACUGCUGUGCUAUUGCUCUGCUAAUUAAACCUUCACACUCUGCUCUUACUUACGGAAUGUGCCAUCAGUGAAGACUGGCCACCAGGCCACACAAAUACAAGUGUGAAACCUCAAA